rnacentral:lncRNA from 1 species
UAUCCAGGACUUGACUUCCUCUGCUCUUGGACCCUAUGAAGAAGCUGGAUCAUGACUCUGGAAGGGGGUGGUUGGAACUCAGGGUGAAAAUGAAGAGGCUGGCAAGCUGCCACUUGAGAGAAGAUGCACAGAGUCUUGAAGAUUUGAACCAGACUAUACCAGGAGACGCCGUCCAGUUGCCCAUGGGAACAGUUCUUCUUGUCCCUUUUCAGACAAAGGAAUAUCAUAGAGACAAAGUUGCAAACUACUUCUCUAUGUGAAGGAGCUUUGGUUCAGCUGCAGAGCUAAACUCUCACCUCUGUAUGAAAUUGGAAUUGGCUGUGAGUGAUUAUAAAGGAAAAUCUAUUGUCGCUGAAGGAUCUUAUUUGCAACAAAAGACAAGAACAAGUAUUUCUUAGUGUCACUGUGUUCUAGUAUGUGGUCUUUAUGCUUGGGCUCCUGAUUGCUUUCCUGUACCUUGUUGAAUUUAUUGCUUUUCUGGACCUUGUAAAGAAAAUUGCUUUAAAAAACUAUAAACUCUGGGCAGCACAAUGACAAACUCCUGUAUAUGUUUUUACCUUUUCUCCUGAACCCAUUGAAUUUGUGCAUUAGAAAAUUAUCAUUAUAUGUUAAAAAUUAUAUAGCCCAGUGGCUGAGAUGGUAAAGAAUCUGCCUGCAAUGCAGGAGACCUGGGUUUGAUCACUGGAUUGAAAUGAUCCCCUGGAGAAGGGAAUGGCUACCUACCCCAGUAUUCCUGCCUGGAGAAUUCCAUGGUCAGAGCAAACUGGUGGGCUACAGCCCUUGGGGUCGGAAACAGAGAGGACUGAGCCAUCAACACUUUCACUUUCUUUCAUAUUAAAAAUUGCCAUCCUCCUCCCUUUUGCCUAAACAUGUUUAGUUUCUUAUUUGAAUUUCCUUUAUAUCUUGGUUUCACAAUUUAAUUUAAUUUGAAUUCAUAUUCAACCUUUAAGCAAAUACAGAAAUGAUUCUUUCCCCUUGCUCUAAUGUUACAAAGAACUUGUCUUCACAUGUAGGAAUUGCCCGUGUUAAUUGUAGUUUUAUCUAGACCUCAGUCUUUGUCUCCAUUGUUAUUUUUAUUCACAUAUCUACCCAUCCAGGAACAAAGAAAAUGCAAUACAAUACAACACCAGAACUUCAAAACAGGGACUUCCCUGGUGGUCCAGCGGCUAAGGCUCUAUGAUCCCAAUCGGGGCCUGGGAUUGACCCCUUCUCAGGGAACUAGAUCCUGCAUGCCGAGACUAGGACCCAGCGCAGCCAAAUCAAUUAAAAAAAAAACAAACUUCAAACAAUGCAUGUUUACAGGUAAAGUAUCCUACAAGAAUUCUAGGGUUGGGUAAAAAUUCUGCUUCCAAACCUCCUAGCAAACCCGGUAAGAGAGCAAACACAUUUGUUUUCAAAUUGUAAGUGAAGAAAAAAAAACAAGAACUUAUUAACUGUAUGACCUUGGGCAGGUUUAGUAAUCACCCUGUGCCUCUGUUUCUUCAUUAGCUUAAUAAGAAUUAUAGAAGUAACUUCCUUAUAUAGGCAUGUUAUGGGGAGUAAAUCAAAUGUGCAAGUAUUAGUAAAGCAUUAAAAACAGUGGCCAGCACAAGGUAAGCACUAUUUCAGUGUUUUUAAAAUAAAAAAUAAAAUGAAUGCUGAGGAAAAUUCUCA